rnacentral:rRNA from 1 species
UACAGAGGUCUCAAGCGUUGUUCGGAUUCAUUGGGCGUAAAGGGUGCGUAGGCGGCGCGGUAAGUCGGGUGUGAAAUCUUGGAGCUUAACUCCGAACUGCAUUCGAUACUGCCGUGCUUGAGGACUGGAGAGGAGACUGGAAUUUACGGUGUAGCUGGUGAAAUGCGUAGAUAUCGUAAGGAAGACCAGUGGCGAAGGCGGGUCUCUGGACAGUUCCUGACGCUGAGGCACGAAGGCCAGGGAGCAAACGGG